AUUGAACGCUGGCGGCAGGCCUAACACAUGCAAGUCGAGCGAGCGGCGGACGGGUGAGUAAUGUAUGGGGAUCUGCCCGGGAGAGGGGGAUAACUACUGGAAACGGUGGCUAAUAACGCAUACUAUCGGAGGAACCCAUAUGGGAUUAGCUAGUGGGUGGGGUAAAGGCACACCCAGGCGCGGAUCUCUAGCUGGUCUGAGAGGAGGAUCAGCCACACUGGGACUGAGACACGGCCCAGACUCCUACGGGAGGCAGCAGUAGGGAAUCUUCGGCAAUGGAGGAAAGCCUGACCGAGCAACCCCGCGUGAGCGAAGAAGGUUUUCGGAUCGUAAAACACUUUUGUUAGAGAAGCGGUAUCUACACAGAAAGCCACGGCUAACUACGUGCCAGCAGCCGCGGUAAUAC
rnacentral:rRNA from 1 species